rnacentral:rRNA from 1 species
CCUACGGUAGGCAGCAGUGAGGAAUAUUGGUCAAUGGGCGCGAGCCUGAACCAGCCAAGUAGCGUGAAGGAUGACUGCCCUACGGGUUGUAAACUUCUUUUAUAAAGGAGUAAAGUGAGGCACGUGUGCCUUUCUGUAUGUACUUUAUGAAUAAGGAUCGGCUAACUCCGUGCCAGCAGCCGCGGUAAUACGGAGGAUCCGAGCGUUAUCCGGAUUUAUUGGGUUUAAAGGGAGCGUAGAUGGGUUGUUAAGUUAGUUGUGAAAGUUUGCGGCUCAACCGGAAAAUUGCAAUUGAUACUGGCAGCCUAGAGUAUAGUUGAGGUAGGCGGAAUUCGUGGUGUAGCGGUGAAAUGCUUAGAUAUCACGCAGAACUCCGAUUGCGAAGGCAGCCUACUAAGCUGCCACUGACGUUGAUGCUCGAAAGUGUGGGUAUCAAACAGGAUUAGAUACCCUUGUAGUC